UGGAUCAUUUGCUCUUUUAGUAUUUGUCCAGCAGGUUUCCUCAAGGAGAAAGACCCCA
ensembl:snRNA U7 U7 small nuclear RNA